rnacentral:rRNA from 1 species
AGUGAACGCUGGCGGUAGGCCUAACACAUGCCAGUCGAACGGCAGCACAGUAAGAGCUGCUCUUACGGGUGGCGAGUGGCGGACGGGUGAGGAAUACAUCGGAAUCUACUUUUUCGUGGGGGAUAACGUAGGGAAACUUACGCUAAUACCGCAUACGACCUACGGGUGAAAGCAGGGGAUCUUCGGACCUUGCGCGAUUGAAUGAGCCGAUGUCGGAUUAGCUAGUUGGCGGGGUAAAGGCCCACCAAGGCGACGAUCCGUAGCUGGUCUGAGAGGAUGAUCAGCCACACUGGAACUGAGACACGGUCCAGACUCCUACGGGAGGCAGCAGUGGGGAAUAUUGGACAAUGGGCGCAAGCCUGAUCCAGCCAUACCGCGUGGGUGAAGAAGGCCUUCGGGUUGUAAAGCCCUUUUGUUGGGAAAGAAAAGCAGCAGGUUAAUACCCCGCUGUUCUGACGGUACCCAAAGAAUAAGCACCGGCUAACUUCGUG